CCGAGAUUCCCUUAGUAGUGGCGAGCGAACGGGGACCAGCCCUUAAGUUGUAUUGAGAUUAGCGGAACGCUCUGGAAAGUGCGGCCAUAGUGGGUGAUAGCCCUGUACGCGAAAAUCCCUUUGCAAUGAAAUCGAGUAGGACGGGGCACGAGAAACCUUGUCUGAAUAUGGGGGGACCAUCCUCCAAGGCUAAAUACUACUGACUGACCGAUAGUGAACCAGUACCGUGAGGGAAAGGCGAAAAGAACCGCGGAGAGCGGAGUGAAAUAGAUCCUGAAACCGUAUGCGUACAAGCAGUGGGAGCCCACUUUGUUGGGUGACUGCGUACCUUUUGUAUAAUGGGUCAGCGACUUAUUUUCAGUGGCGAGCUUAACCGAAUAGGGGAGGCGUAGCGAAAGCGAGUCUUAAUAGGGCGUCUAGUCGCUGGGAAUAGACCCGAAACCGGGCGAUCUAUCCAUGGGCAGGUUGAAGGUUGGGUAACACUAACUGGAGGACCGAACCGACUACCGUUGAAAAGUUAGCGGAUGACCUGUGGAUCGGAGUGAAAGGCUAAUCAAGCUCGGAGAUAGCUGGUUCUCCUCGAAAGCUAUUUAGGUAGCGCCUCAUGUAUCACUGUAGGGGGUAGAGCACUGUUUCGGCUAGGGGGUCAUCCCGACUUACCAAACCGAUGCAAACUCCGAAUACCUACAAGUGCCGAGCAUGGGAGACACACGGCGGGUGCUAACGUCCGUCGUGAAAAGGGAAACAACCCAGACCGUCAGCUAAGGUCCCAAAGUCAUGGUUAAGUGGGAAACGAUGUGGGAAGGCUUAGACAGCUAGGAGGUUGGCUUAGAAGCAGCCACCCUUUAAAGAAAGCGUAAUAGCUCACUAGUCGAGUCGGCCUGCGCGGAAGAUGUAACGGGGCUCAAACCAUGCACCGAAGCUACGGGUAUCACCUUUGGUGAUGCGGUAGAGGAGCGUUCUGUAAGCCUGUGAAGGUGAGUUGAGAAGCUUGCUGGAGGUAUCAGAAGUGCGAAUGCUGACAUGAGUAACGACAAUGGGUGUGAAAAACACCCACGCCGAAAGACCAAGGUUUCCUGCGCAACGUUAAUCGACGCAGGGUUAGUCGGUCCCUAAGGCGAGGCUGAAAAGCGUAGUCGAUGGAAAACAGGUUAAUAUUCCUGUACUUCUGGUUAUUGCGAUGGAGGGACGGAGAAGGCUAGGCCAGCCUGGCGUUGGUAGUCCAGGUUUAAGGUGGUAGGCUGAGAUCUUAGGUAAAUCCGGGAUCUUAAGGCCGAGAGCUGAUGACGAGUGUUCUUUUAGAACAUGAAGUGGUUGAUGCCAUGCUUCCAAGAAAAGCUUCUAAGCUUCAGGUAACCAGGAACCGUACCCCAAACCGACACAGGUGGUUGGGUAGAGAAUACCAAGGCGCUUGAGAGAACUCGGGUGAAGGAACUAGGCAAAAUGGCACCGUAACUUCGGGAGAAGGUGCGCCGGUGAGGG
rnacentral:rRNA from 1 species